GAUGAAGAACGUAGCGAAAUGCGAUAAGUAGUGUGAAUUGCAGAAUUCAGUGAAUCAUCGAAUCUUUGAACGCACAUUGCGCCCUUUGGUAUUCCUUAGGGCAUGCCUGUUCGAGCGUCAUUUAAACCUUCAAGCUAAGCUUGGUGUUGGGUGACUGUCCGCUUCACGGCGGACUCGCCUCAAAAUUAUUGGCGGCCGGUACAUUGGCUUCGAGCGCAGCAGAAACGCGAACUCGGGCCCGUCGUAUUGGCUCCCAGAAGCUAUCUUCACAAUUUUGACCUCGGAUCAGGUAGGGAUACCCGCUGAACUUAAGCAUAUCAAUAAGCGGAGGA
rnacentral:misc_RNA from 1 species